UACGUAGGAGGCAAGCGUUGUCCGGAAUUACUGGGCGUAAAGCGCGUGUAGGUGGUGGGACAAGUCCGCCGUCAAAUCCCAGGGCUCAACCCUGGACAGGCGGUGGAAACUACCAAGCUGGAGUACGGUAGGGGCAGAGGGAAUUUCCGGUGGAGCGGUGAAAUGCAUUGAGAUCGAAAAGAACACCAACGGCGAAAGCACUCUGCUGGGCCGACACUGACACUGAGAGACGAAAGCUAGGGGAGCAAAUGGG
rnacentral:rRNA from 1 species